AACGAACGCUGGCGGCGUGCUUAACACAUGCAAGUCGAGCGGUAAGGCCCUUUCGGGGGUACACGAGCGGCGAACGGGUGAGUAACACGUGGGUGACCUGCCCUCAGCUCUGGGAUAAGCCUGGGAAACCGGGUCUAAUACUGGAUAUGACUCCAUGACGCAUGUUGUGGGGUGGAAAGCCUUGUGCGGCUGAGGAUGGGCCCGCGGCCUAUCAGCUUGUUGGUGGGGUGANGGCCUACCAAGGCGACGACGGGUAGCCGGCCUGAGAGGGCGACCGGCCACACUGGGACUGAGACACGGCCCAGACUCCUACGGGAGGCAGCAGUGGGGAAUCUUGCGCAAUGGGCGAAAGCCUGACGCAGCGACGCCGCGUGAGGGAUGACGGCCUGG
rnacentral:rRNA from 1 species